AGGGGUGUAGCUCAGUUGGUAGAGCAUUGGUCUCCAAAACCAAAUGUCGUCGGUUCAAAUCCGGCCACCCUUGCCA
rnacentral:tRNA from 2 species